rnacentral:lncRNA from 1 species
GGGGGAGAUUUUGGAUUCUAUCUCAUUCGGCUAAAAACAGAAGCCGAAAGCAAUUGUAAAAAAGGGAUCCCCAUUCUUGUACACACGCAUAUUUCAGAAAUAAAAGAGCAAAAACAAAAGAAAAAGGUUACGUUUUUUCAAUUUCUGAUUUCUUUUUUUCUUUUUUCAUUUUUGAUUUUGCUUUUAAGCUUCAAGAACAAGAAAUAAAAAGAAGACGGGGAGAAAACUUACCCGAACCCCUGGGUCACACCGUCGGCGGUUCCCUCAGUCGUCGGAGCCGAACCCAAAACGGGUGGAGAUCCCUUCAUUUUCGGGUUUUCUUGGUUAAAAAAUCUUAGCCUUCAUACCUGGUUGAAUCGGGGGCUAAAAACCCACCCUUGAGCAUCGCCAGCCACCGAUACGGUGGGGGCGCGGUGAUGCAACGGCGACGGGCUCACGAUUCAGUAAGAGAGGAGAGGGAGAGAAGCUUUAACAUUCUAUUUUUUUUGUUCUUUUUUUCUUUUCUUCUAUGAAAUUAGGGCUGAAAUAAUAAAGAGAAUGGGUGUUUUAAACACCAAACAAAACGGUGCCGUUGGUGGGGAUGGGGAUUCAUGUAUCCUCAAUUAUUAGGAUAUUUGCACACGAGGUCCCUCCAUCUUUAGCGUCCUUUGAUCAGGCCCUAUUUUAUCUUUGCUUUUUCUCUUAAUUUAGUUGUUAGAUUUUGCUUGUUUUUUAAAUCAGUCUUUUGAUCUGUCGGGCCUCAUGCGCAUGUUAGGGCUAUGGUUUUUAUCCCAUUUGGUCCUUAUGAUUUUAGGUGCACUUCAUUUUAAUCCUGGCAGUAUCUUUUUAUUUUUUACCUAGAAUUUUGUAUUGUUUUCGAAUUAAUCCUUCACCUGUUUAAUUCUUUUUCUUAAAAAAGGAACUGUUAUUGUAUGUGUUUAAAAUAUUCUAUAUACGGUUCAUUUUCAUAUAUUAUUAAUUUUAACCAAUUUUAUGUAUCAAUUACUCAAAGUUGUAAGUUGUUUUGCAUAUAUUGUUUAUUCUAAACUACUCUACAUACAUUAUUUAUUUUGGUUUCUUUGCACAUAUUAUAUAAAUAUUUUCUAUUCUUCAUAUAUCUUUUUUUCUUUUUCGUAUAUUAUUGUUCCUUUUUUUUAAAUAAAAUUUCUUUUUUUACAUCAUUUAUUUUAAACUCUAUUUAUUUAUAUAUUGCUUAUUUUAAAUUAUUAUACGUAUCUUAUUUUGAAUCCUAUUUAUUUAUUUCGAAAUGUUUUACUGCUAUUAUUUGCUCUUUUUAUAUCAUUCACUUCAUACUUUUAUACAUAUAUAUACAUACUGUUUAUCUUAAUUUUUUGUAUAAACAUAUUUUUUAUCGUUUAGUGUGUUAUUGAUUUUUAAAUUUCCUUUUUCACAUUAUUUAUUUCAAACUUAUUAUUGUCAUUUUAAAAUGUUUUAUAUUAUUUAUUUUAAUUUAUUUUAUGCCAUUUAUUUUCUUAAAAAAUUAUUAUUUAAUUCAUUGGUCUUUUAUCUAUCGAUGUUAUUAUUUAAAUGUUGUAUGAUUAUUGUCUUUGUGUAUUUUAAUUUGUUUAUUUCGUAUUUUUGCAUUAUUGUGAUUCAUCCAUAUAAUGUUGUGUUCAUGUAUCAUUGUUCUAGGCUUAUUACUAUAUUUUUAUUUUAUAUCAUCGCUUCAUGAAUCAAGUCUCGUUGCAUUUAUCCAAUAAAUUGUUUUAUUUUAAUCCAAACAAAUAAUGCACACUAUCUAAAUGUUGCAUUUGCUAUUAUUCAAAAAAAAAAUUCAAAAUAAGGCAAUAUUUCGUUUUUAGGAAAUUCGAGAAAACGUACCCUAACUUACUGGGUUUCGACUUUCUUCGUUUACCCUAAAUAACCGAACAUCCUUUUUAAAAAAAAGUUAAAAUGCAUGAAUUUUAAAUAAAGACAAACUCACUCUCAAAAGCUCGAGAUGUCGUGUCCUAACUUACUGGAUGUGAUAUUUUAUCACUUAGAGAUGAGAAGGUCUUUAAUAUUUGAGUUUUUUUUACAAAGAGAUGGAUCGUAUUUCAAAGUAUUUUAAGUUUUCAAUUUUCGAAACUAAGACACUAAUUAAUCAACUAGGUACCAAUUUUUGGGCGUAUCGAGGGUGCUAAUCCUUCCUCGUGCGUAACCGACUCCCGAACUCAUUUUCUGAUUUUCGUAGACCAAAAAAAAUUAUCGUUUUAGUAAAUCUUAACUUUUAUUAAAAUGAUUAAUUCGAGGUGACCCGAUCGCACCUCAUCAAAAAGGAUUGGUGGCGACUCCUCUAUUCAUUUUCAUUUUCAAAACCCAAGUCGACCCCGUUUUUAAUUCAAAAAUGGUGUCAACAGCUUGGCGACUCCACUGGGGACAACCACAAUAAGUGAGUCGGGCCACGAGUUGAUUAUUUUUUGUCUUUUUGUCGAAAAUCAAAACUUGGUUUAAAUAUACGAUCCUUUCAUCGCAUUUCAUUGCUCUUUAUUACAAUUUUCAUCGUUGUGGUUUAUAAUUGUUGUGUUAGUUUAAGUUUUUGUAUCUUUCUGCACAUUGCAUUGCAUGACCGUUGGUCACACCCUUUUAAGUGGGAGUGAGAAACUACGCCUUCGUGAGGUUUUCACCUCCGCAUGGGAUAGUGAAUCGCUUUCGGGAUACAUCCGUACCUAUGUCUUCGUGAGAUUUUCAUCUCCGCAUGGCCAUAGGGAAAUGUAUCCCCCUGAAUCGAACUUGGUCCGUAUGAGCCUAUAAUGAGUGAGGAUCGAGGAAUUUGCUGGUUCAGGUACCCUACUUUAGAACCAAACCACAUGUAAUGAGCCAUAGGAACCAACCUAGGUAGAGCUACUCUAAAUUUUUAGUGCUUACCUAAAUGAAUGUUGUAUUUAUUUGUCGCUUAUUUUAAAUCUUAUUCUGUGUUUAAUGCUAAUUUACUUUGUUUGUGAUUGCAUGGCAUCUUCAUUCUAAAAGAGGUGUCGAUUUACGUUCAGUUUCUUGGUAGAAAGCUUAUCAUGGAAAAGGGGUUUGUUGAUAAAGUAGAGGAUAAUGCGGCUGUGCGAAUAUGGGCUGAAACGACACAACGGGAGAAAGGCGAUAGUCUUACCGAAGGGUACGUGUCAGAAUUGUGGGAUUUUACCCGUAUCAGUGUAAUCCAAAAUGACCUUCGAGAAAUGAAAGAAGUCUGGGAUCAAUGGGAUGUCGAGGCCAAGCAGCUGUUCUAUUGUAACUACGGUGACCUACCUUACCUGCUUAGUGUCAAAGUGGACAAGUAUUUAUUCCGAGCCCUUGCUCAGUUUUGGAAUCCUGCCUACAGUUGUUUCACUUUUGGGAAGGUAGAUUUGACGCCUACUGUGGAGGAGUAUACGACCUUGCUUCGGUGCCCAAAGAUUCAAGUCGACAAGGCUUAUUCCAGAGCUGCUUGUGUCCCUCCGUUGUUAAAGAAAUUAAUGAACAUCACUGGAAUGAGCGAGCAGUGGGUCGCUGCCCGGAUCCAACAGAAGGGCGACAGUAAAUGUGUUCCUUGGAAAAGUUUGCGAGAUUUGGUGCUUGUACAUCCUGACUUAAAGAAAAGGGUCGAUGUUUUCGCUUUAGGUAUCUAUGGACUAGUGGUUUUCCCCAAAGCUUUAGGACACAUAGACGAGGCUGUAUCUGAUUUGUUCGAUCGGCUUAGUAAAGGGGUUACACCGGUUCCGGCAAUACUCGCUGAAACUUUUAGAUCAUUGAAUGCGUGUCGAAAAGUAGGGGAGGGAAGGUUUAUUGGAUGCGCGCAGCUCUUAUUGGCAUGGUUCCAUAGCCACUUCUGGAAAGUCGAAAAGGUCUCUUAUCGGGUAUUCUCUGAUAGCUACUCCCCUCUAGGAGAAUUGGUGGCCACGCCAAGACGAGAUGAUAUUUCAGAAGAAAAAUGGAUAGAGAUACUCCAGAAUCUCCAAGAUGAAGAUAUUGAAUGGAGGGCUCCUUGGUUAAUUCCUGAUGAGAUAUUGUACCGAUGUGGAGAUUUUGACUGGGUUCCGCUGCUCGGGAUAUGGGGAGCUAUCGGAUAUGCUCCUCUACUCGUAUCAAGACAGUAUAGAUCACGACAAUUCAUACCAGCAACCCAGGGGUUGGCUUAUAGUGAUUUUUCCUAUAGGAAGGACAAUUACAAGAAGAAGGUUCGAGAAAUAUCUAGUGCCUGGAACCAGACUCGUCGAAUGAAGAUCUUAGCCGUGGGUCCGACAAUUACCCCCGAGUAUGGUCAGUGGCGUGAUCAAAGGAUCAAUGACAACAUCCCGGCGUCAAAUUCAGAAACUGCUCGAUCUUUAGAGGAACACUUACAAGUUUUGCCUUCUGAAAUAGAAAUCAUCAAACAAGAAUUCGAAAAAAGAAGUUUAGAAUUAGGGAAGAAGAUAGAACAACUAGAGGAAGAAAAAAUGCAGUUAGGACUGGAUGUGGACAUUCAAAGAUUAGAGGCCAACAAAUUGAGAAAAGGAAAGAACAAGGCAGAAGAAGAUUUGGACAGCCUGAAGACAGAUUACAAGAAGUUGCGUAAGUCGGUAAGAGCCGCUGGCUUGGGUAAAACACCAGAACAAUGGCGACAAGAAAUUCAGGAGGAAAAGACAAAAGCUAAUCAAUGGGAAAAGAAAUUUCAGGAUACUCGGGCUCGAGAAGUCGCCUUGGGAAAGAGUCUACUAGUUUGCCAAGACGAGAAGACGGUGUUGAAGGUCCGGAUAACUGAACUAGAAAGAUCGCUUCACCAGUACUGUAAUCGUAAUGCUACGGUUGAAUUAAGGGUGAGCUUAGACAAAAUUGAAGAAUUAAAAAGACAGAUAGGAGGGCUAGAGAAUGCAUUACAAAAUAGUGAAAUCCGGAUAGAGCUUCUGGAAGAAAGUAAUGAGCAGUGGCAAAGACAAUUCCGUCGGUCUCAAGAGCAGAUUGGAGAAAGAGAUUAUAUUAUGGGAGAGGCGGUGACUCAAGUGCGCGAAGUAGCUGAUCAUCUGCAAACUCUAGCGGUUCAGGCUGAUCUAUUAAGUUUGAAGUAUGAGUCAGAGUCGGACAGGGGCCGAGAAUUAGCUUGGCUUCUUAGAAAGGUUAAGGCUUUGAGUGUGAGGGCAAAGCCAUAUAUGUAGUCUAUUUUAUGUAAAGAAACUCUUUAUCUAGUAAAGUUUUCUAAUGAAGUUGAAUUAGAAUCAGUGCCUCUUUUUCUUUGCAUUCUUUUCAUGCAUUGCAUCACAUCACAUGCAUUAAUGACCAUUAAAAACCUAAUCGAAUAAAAUCAUUUCAGUUAACCUGGAAAACCAACAAAGUUACGGCACCCGAGCUAAGACAAAAAUUAUGGACCAAAGGUUGGAGAAGCUAGAGCGACUUCAAAAAGAAAUGCAAGACCAGUUGCAGGCGCAAAUGAAAGAGCAAAUAGAAAAGAUUCAGCGUGACAUGGUGCAAAAGAUGGAGGAGUCCCAAAAUGAUCUGGUGGCUAAGAUGACGCAAUUAUUGAAGGGAGUAGACAAGGGUAAAGGUCCUGUGAUUGUUAGUGAAGAAGAAAACAAUGGUGAACCACUUUAUCCUCCAGGUUUCACGCCUCCGCAUGCGCAAGUACAGACUGAGCUGCAUCCGCGGAGACCCUCUGUGUCGGUUAGGCCCCAGCAGUUCCAAGGCGAUGCUUCAAUUCCAAUGAAUUUUCAACCCGGAGCGGGCUUUAAUCCCGGUGAUAGCCCGAAUAAUAUUGCUGUCCCAGAUCUUGACGAGAUGGUUGAAAAGGAUAAGGCGAAGGAGGAAUUUCCAAAACAAUUUGAGGAGAAAUGGAAAUGGAUAGAAGAGAAGUUUAGGGCAAUAGAAAGCAUCGAAAGCUAUGGAAUAGAUGCAAAGGAUCUGAGCUUGGUUCCGGACUUGGUGCUCCCUUACAAAUUUAAGAUGCCGGAAUUCGAGAAAUAUAAUGGGACCAGCUGCCCAGAAGCUCAUAUUACUAUGUUCUGUAGGCGUAUGGCCGGAUACGUCAACAACGACCAACUGCUCAUACACUGCUUUCAAGAUAGCCUCACAGGGACAGCGUCUAAGUGGUACAAUCAAUUGACGCGUAUCCAGAUUAGUUCUUGGAGGGAUUUAGCACAAGCCUUUAUGAAACAAUACAGUCAUGUAGCUUAUAUGGUCCCUGACAGAAUAACCCUGCAAAAUAUGGAGAAAAAACCUAAUGAAAGUUUUAGGCAAUACGCACAAAGGUGGAGGGAGGUCGCUAUCCAAGUUCAGCCGCCACUCCUAGAGAAAGAAAUGACGAUGCUCUUCAUCAACACAUUGAAGGCCCCGUUCAUCACCCACAUGUUAGGAAGUGCUUCGAAGAGUUUUUCAGACAUAGUCAUGAGCGGUGAAAUGAUUGAAAGUGCCGUGAGAAGUGGAAAGAUUGAUGCUGGGGAGAAUAAUAGAAGGUCAGACUUAAAGAAGAAGGAAAAUGAUGUGAGCAAUGUCAACACUUACAACAAAUCGAUUACACAGCCAAGAAAGGUGACUGCUAGUCAGCAAGGUUCAUCUAGACAAGAAAUUAGUGUGAAACAAGGUACUGAGAACCUCCAGUUCACGCCAAUCCCGAUGUCGUAUAACGAGCUGUAUCAAAAGUUAUUCGAUGUACGCAUUGUUUCUCCUUUCUACUCAAAACCUCCACAGCCACCGUACCCCAAAUGGCACGAUGCGAAUGCACAUUGCGAAUAUCAUGCGGGAAAUACGGGGCAUUCCAUAGAGAACUGCAUAGCCUUCAAGAAACUGGUUGAAAAGCUCAUCAACAUGGGUGUCGUCAAGUUUGGUGACUCAUCUAAUGCAGAAAAUUCGCCACCCAAUCAUGAUUAACAAUGGGGUGAACGCAAUAUAUGAGAAAGUGUUGGGAAGUUUUCACAUCAAUACCAUAUAUGAAGGCAUAAUUGAAAAGGGAUCUUGUUAGAUGUCUGCCCUUAUAAACCUGGAGUGUUCCAAGCAAUGGGCUUGUAGAAUAAAUCCCUGUAGUUUUUAGAGCUUAUUUAGAGUAAUGUUCAGAACAUUUUUGCUAUUUUUAGCCUGAAGCGAUAGAAAUUCCUUUGUGAAAUAGGCUAAUGUCUGAACGUUAUUAUUCUAAUAAAAUACAUCUUUGCGUUCCUUUUUGAGCCAAUAUUCUUUCAUUCUUUUUAAUAAUUAUUUUUGAUUAUUUCAUUCUGUUGGAUUUUCUUCCACAACAUUCAUUCAUAAUCAUAUUGUAAAUAAUCAUUCAUAAAUUUAUACAUUCUUUUGUAUAUUCCUCGGUGCUUAUUAUGAGUCCUCAGAUAUCAAUAACAUGAAUGAAACUGCUGCAAACUCAGAUUUUCCACUUGAGUGAGGCAUGUGCUUAGAUGGAUCUCAUGACUUUGGAAAUGACAUAGAUAGUAGCUUACCCCCAAACUUAUUGAGGAUGGUUGAGUAGGAGGAUAGACAGAUCACUAGGAAUUCUGAGCUUGGAAUUGACUUGUCCUUAAAAAUGAAGCAAGACCUUGUUCAAAGAUGUCUUUGUAGGAUCAUACCAGGAUAUGCUGGGUUAAGCACUGAUAAUGAAAUCUGCACAACAACACGAUGUCCAAACUCGUAUGAAUGAUACAAUUCUUUGCCGGGGCAAUACCGUUCUCGUCAAUUCAGCAUAGCUUUGCCCGUUUGAAGUCGAGUUUCUAUUCCUUCAAGAUGUUGCUAGAUUUUAUCCCGAUGGAAGAAGAAGAUCAAAAGUUUCCAGUUGUAGUUUUGCCCUAAAAGGCUCUAUAAAGGAAAUUCGAUAUCAGAGAAGAUCCUUUGAAGGGGAUAACAAAGACUUGCCUAAUCCCAAGAGUUUAGAUCCGAUUCAAAAAACAAGGAAAAAUGAAAAAAAAAACAAAAUCAAAAUCAAAAUCAAAAUAAAAAAUAAAAACAAAGAGAAAUCAAUCAAAGUCAAAAUAAAAAUAUGAAAAGCAAAGAAAAGAAAAGGAGAGGCCAAGGCGAAAAACCAAAAAGGCGCUUUGUGACCAAAAGUGGUUUUGAGUGGAAAACCCAAAAAGGGUGACUCAAAUUUUGAGCAAAAUGGGGCAUGGACAUCACCAUUAUCGAAGACUUCUAAUGGGCAUUGCUUCACUAUUGAGAUCAUUAAUUACUUCAUCAAAUGGAUAAAGGCUACAGCAUGCGUCAAUGUCAUCAUAUGCCAAUAUAGAAUUCUAGAGACGAUGGUAUGGGAAAAUGUAUUGAACUAGAAUGACAACAUGAUAGUUGAGGGCUGUAAUCGGUUCAAAAUCAGACAUCACAGUUUGUCACUGUAUUGUAAGACAAUGAAGUUCAAAAAAAAUAAAAAGAUGAAGAAUGAAAAUGGAAAAUGAAAAGAGUAAAAUGGAGAGGCUAAGGGGAAAACCCGCAAAGGGCACCUUAGGCCAAAGGGGAUCUGAGCUGAAAACCCGAAAAGGGCGGCUCAAAUACUGAUCAAAAUGGGGCAUGGGGUGAUAUAAGCUGCUCAAGUUUUGUUCAUAUUGAGGCAUGUGUUGAUCUUGCCAUGCCUGAAUCAACAGGAAAGGAUAGGCGACAUCUUGGGGGCAUCGACAGAGCAUUGUAGAUCUCCUAAACACAUGUCCAACUCAAAAGGGUCUUCAGAAAGUUUGUAUAGAGAAGUUCAAGCUGUGAUAUCUGGGGCACCCAAUUCUCAUGUUAUUUGUUGUUCUUGGAAUACUUUUUCUUUCUUUCCAAGAUAUACAUUCCCAAUUAAUUCUUUUGUUGUCCUUCUUCACUAUUUUCGAUAAUUUGUUCUUUCGAGCUAUGCUCAGAACCAACUUUAUUCUUAUCCAUUGUUAUGACCUUUUUGCAAGCAUUGGAAUAAUGAUUAAUGGACUAAUAAAACUUUCACAAAGGAAGUUUUGCAUAUUACUCUGAAAAGUUUCUAAAUAAUACAGGAACCUGAAACAGGACUAUUGUUUAGAACAUGCCAAAUUUGAAGGUUGGAAAUUUGAGAAGGAAGAGUCUAAGUUUAGACUUUCUCUUUGGAUUUUGUUGACAAAUGCAUUGAUUGAACAAAAUGACAAGAUGUCGUGUCAAUGAAAAAGCUUAAAUAAACAAGCAAGCAAUGAUCACUAGGCAAUAGGAAGAGGUUACCUCGGAGAAGAGAGCCUUCAUUUGUGCAUGAGUCUUUGAAACGACACCCUGGAAAUGGUGUAAAGGGGGACCAGAAAGAUUAAGAUCCUAUAUCCUUGAAUUGUGAUAAAAGAGGAUUGAGGAAAAACCAUAUUUCUACCCUUGGAUUGUAGUGGGAGAAUGAUGGUACAAAUUUUGUGCCCUAAUAGAUUAAACUUUAAGGUUUACAGUGGGGGGCAACCAGAUUAAGUGUUUCUUUGGAUAUACCAGACGAGCAAAAAGGCGUUGUAGUACGUCAGUGAUAAAACCUUAAUAAGUUUUUACGUGAUGUUAACCUAAGCAUUAAGGAAUCAUCUUCAUGACAUUUUGCAUUCAUUCAAAUGUCAUUCAUACAUAUCUAGUUAGGAGCAUUUGAUUCAUUCUGAUUAUGUCAUCCUAAUCACUAGGCACAAUUAGGUUCAUAAAAUAGAACAUACAGGUCAUGUUCCCCAAGGGACAGAUCAAUGAAGUCACAAACCUUGCCUCUUUCGAUUGUGAUGGAGCUGGUUAAAGACAAAAGAUCUUGCCUUCCUACAUUGACAGCGAAGCAGAUCGAAGACACAAACCUUGCCUCUUUCGGUUGUGAUGGAGCUGGUUGAAGACAAAAGAUCUUGCCUUUCUGCAUUGACAGCGAAGCAGAUCGAAGACACAAACCUUGCCUCUUUGGUUAUGAUGGAGCUGGUUGAAGACAAAAGAUCUUGCCUUUCUGCAUUGACAGCGAAGCAGAUCGAAGACACAAACCUUGCCUCUUUCGGUUGUGAUAGAGCUGGUUGAAGACAAAAGAUCUUGCCUUCCUGCAUUGACAUUGAAGCAGGUCGAAGACACAAACCUUGCCUCUCUCGGUUGUAGUGGAGCUGGUUAAAGAAGCAGAUCUUGCCGUCCUACAUUAACAGCGAAGCAGAUCGAAAACAAAGCCUUGCAUCCAUCGAUUGCAGUGGAGCUAGUUAAAGAAGCAGAUCUUGCCUUCCUGCAUUAACAGCAAAGCAGAUCAAAAACAAAGCCUUGCCUCCAUUGGUUGCAUUGGAGCUGGUUAAAGGUUACAGAUUUUGUCUCCCUAAGCCGUAGCGGAGCAGAUCAAAGACAGCAAAUCUUAUCUUCAAGUGUAAGGAAGCGGAUUCAAACCACAAGUCCUAUAUCCCUGACCUGUAGUGGAAUAGAUUGGAAAUUACAGAUCUUGUCCCCCUGAAGUUACAGUGGAGCAGAUUGAAGCCAGAGAUCUUAUCUCCCCGAGAUUACAGCGGAGCAGAUCGAAGACACUAUCCUAUCUCCCUGAAGUUACAGUGGAGUGGGUUAAAAUAAAGGAUCUUAUCUCUCUGAGGUUACAGCAGAGUAGGUCGCAUCAAGUCUUAUUUCCCUGAAGAUGCAGUGGAAUAGAUUGAAAACCACAAACCUCGUCCCCCUGAAGUUGCUACGAAGAAGAUAAAGGCUACAGGACGCAUCUCUCUAAAAUGCAGUGGAAUUGAUCGAAGCAACAAGACCUAGUGGACUGGAAUGAAACUACUUGAAAUGGAGAAGUACCAGAACAAGUCAAGACUCGGCGAGACCGGGCAAAAUGGGCCUUUCUUAGUCUUUGCUCUGUUAUCGUUACACGACAACGAGCAAAGAGGGGCAGCUGUUGCAGGCCCAUUUGCCCGGGCCCAAGAAAGAAAUAAAAGGCCCAGCACCCUGGCCCAACAGCCAAGCCCACAUCAGACUAGGGUUUCAGAAACUGAAACCCUAGUAUCCCACUUGCCGCUGCUCUCUGUCAGCCGCACGUCCCAUCGCCAUCUCUCCUCCACCUGCUCCCAUCACCUCCUUGAACACCUGCAAACAUGACGGAAGCAGCAACAGAAACAGAAACGCAGCAAACAGUAACAAAACAACAAUAGGACUUUGUAUAAUCGGCUAUAAAGAGCCAUUCAUUUUCAAUGUAAAGGGGGGAGAUUUUGGAUUCUAUCUCAUUCGGCUAAAAACAGAAGCCGAAAGCAAUUGUAAAAAAGGGAUCCCCAUUCUUGUACACACGCAUAUUUCAGAAAUAAAAGAGCAAAAACAAAAGAAAAAGGUUACGUUUUUUCAAUUUCUGAUUUCUUUUUUUCUUUUUUCAUUUUUGAUUUUGCUUUUAAGCUUCAAGAACAAGAAAUAAAAAGAAGACGGGGAGAAAACUUACCCGAACCCCUGGGUCACACCGUCGGCGGUUCCCUCAGUCGUCGGAGCUGAACCCAAAACGGGUGGAGAUCCCUUCAUUUUCGGGUUUUCUUGGUUAAAAAAUCUUAGCCUUCAUACCUGGUUGAAUCGGGGGCUAAAAACCCACCCUUGAGCAUCGCCAGCCACCGAUACGGUGGGGGCGCGGUGAUGCAACGGCGACGGGCUCACGAUUCAGUAAGAGAGGAGAGGGAGAGA